rnacentral:rRNA from 1 species
GAUGAACGCUGGCGGCGUGCCUAAUACAUGCAAGUCGAGCGAACAGACGAGGAGCUUGCUCCUCUGACGUUAGCGGCGGACGGGUGAGUAACACGUGGAUAACCUACCUAUAAGACUGGGAUAACUUCGGGAAACCGGAGCUAAUACCGGAUAAUAUAUUGAACCGCAUGGUUCAAUAGUGAAAGACGGUUUUGCUGUCACUUAUAGAUGUAUCCGCGCCGCAUUAGCUAGUUGGUAAGGUAACGGCUUACCAAGGCGACGAUGCGUAGCCGACCUGAGAGGGUGAUCGGCCACACUGGAACUGAGACACGGUCCAGACUCCUACGGGAGGCAGCAGUAGGGAAUCUUCCGCAAAGGGCGAAAGCCUGACGGAGCAACGCCGCGUGAGUGAUGAAGGUCUUCGGAUCGUAAAACUCUGUUAUUAGGGAAGAACAAAUGUGUAAGUAACUAUGCACGUCUUGACGGUACCUAAUCAGAAAGCCACGGCUAACUACGUG